rnacentral:rRNA from 1 species
UACAGAGGGUGCGAGCGUUAAUCGGAAUUACUGGGCGUAAAGCGUGCGUAGACGGUUAUGUAAGUCGGGCGUGAAAGCCCCGGGCUCAACCUGGGAAUUGCAUUCGAGACUGCAUAGCUAGGGUGCGGAAGAGGGAAGCGGAAUUUCCGGUGUAGCGGUGAAAUGCGUAGAUAUCGGAAGGAACAUCAGUGGCGAAAGCGGCUUCCUGGUCCAGCACCGACGUUCAGGCACGAAAGCGUGGGGAGCAAACAGG